AAUUGAAGGUCAGCACUAAAAUAAAAAUGUAGGGGGAAAUGCAACUAAUAAAAUGUAGGAAAAAAAAUGUGAACAGAAAAUAUAAUAAACCUACAUGGUAGUGCUAACAUAGAUAAAACUGAAAGAGGAUUGUAAAUAGAACUGUAAGAAUGGAUUUGUCUACCAUUUAUUAUAUUUUGUUAAAAAUAAAGAAAUUCAAUUUACAAUAUUGAAUUUUACUAGACUUUCUGGUUUGAAAAGCUAGAGUUUCUUUUUCCUUUCAGAAGGCUUGUAUUCAGGUAAUACUGAUGAAGAGAAUCCUCAAGACCUUUACACUCUGGGUCAGUUCCAAGAUGGCUGAGAAGCUGUUUAAAACAACCAAAAAACAACUUGAUAGGAUUGACAAUUUCAUGUUUUUUAAUAAGUGUUGAAUGAGACUGCUAACUACAAUCAGCAGAUAUACAUAUGUGGUGUCAUAGAUGUUUGGUUUUCAAAAAUAAAGAAUGUGUUAGAAAAAUGCCUGCAAAUCAUUUGAAUGUUACAACCUUUAAAAAAAAAUCUGGCUGUUGAGUGCAGACUGUGCUGUUUCACCUUUUAUUACAAAGACUCAGUGAAUGAAACAUAUUUGAUAGCUUGGCAAUAGAAGAAAAAUUUGUAUUUAAAUGAGGACAGAAGACACUGGGCUGGAAUUUAAUUCUAAAAUUGUUGCCAUUUAGGGCCUCACUGAAAUAUAGGGCCAAAUAGCUGUUGCUCUACCAGUAGCAGUUCUCAUAUUAAAUGAUGAAUUUGCAAGGCCCCCUAGGAUUAUGUUUAUUGCAGCACUAUUCACAAUAGCAAAGACUUGGAACCAACCCAAAUGUCCAACAAUGAUAGACUGGAUUAAGAAAAUUUGGCACAUAGACACCAUGGAAUACUAUGCAGCCAUAAAAAAUGAUGAGUUCAUGUCCUUUGUAGGGACAUGGAUGAAAUUAGAAAUCAUCAUUCUCAGUAAACUAUUGCAAGAACAAAAAACCAAACACCGCAUAUUCUCACUCAUAGGUGGGAACU
rnacentral:lncRNA from 1 species